GAGAACAGGAAGUGGGAGCCACAUACCCCGAGCUGGCGGCUUGAGCCUGUGGUAUCUAGGCUCACCUCACUGCGGUUGGUGGAGGUGAUGGAGGUUGCAGCUUGGCCAGCAUGGUAGAAAGGUGGCAGGGCACGUCUGGCUUUUACCACCCAGUUGCUUCGAGCCAGGAGAUGGAGGAGUCAUCUGUUGCACGCUGGAGGCUGGAGCCUGCAGAUGGCAUGGUUCUGUGGCUCACCUCGCUGCAGUUGGUGGCAGAGACAGAGACUGCAGCUUGACCAGAGUGGUGGAGUGGUUGGAGUGCAGUGGCAUGAUCUUGACUCACUGCAACCUCCACCUCCCGGGUUCAAGCCAUUCUCUUCCCUCAGCCUCCUCAGUAGCUGGAUUACAGGUACCUCCCACCACACCCAGAUAUGUAUCUCAAGAGCACUCCACAACAAAGAUUCUGCCUGCAAUCCUCCACUUCAAGGUCUGUUCCAGGAAACCUGUGUAACACAGUUAUGCAUAGAGUGGUCUUAGGAAGCUGACUCUAACAUGAAAAUUUAGAGUUGGAUCUUUUGCUGACAUAUUGAAUAUUCAUAAGAGCAUAUGAUACAUUUGUCUAUCAUAAACAUGUCAUUUCAAAAAACCCUCAAAGUUGCCUUGUAGAACAUAAUUUUAAAACUAGUGUGUAGGAAUAUUUCAUAUCAGUUAUUCAGUCUUCUUAAUAUCUGAACCGAAAUUAAUCUUCCAUUCUGCUUUUAUUUAUAAAUAAUGAUUUAUUGUCAGAUUCAAUAAUUUAUAUUUUCAUUUAUUCUAAGGUAGGAAAUACCAGCAUAAAAAUAAAUUAUUUGAAACAAAUC
rnacentral:lncRNA from 1 species